GAUGAAGAACGUAGCGAAAUGCGAAAAGUAAUGUGAAUUGCAGAAUUCAGUGAACCAUCGAAUCUUUGAACGCACAUUGCGCCCGCUGGAACUCCGGCGGGCACGCCUGUCCGAGCGUCAUUUCAACCCUCAGGCCCCCCUUCGCGGGCGGGCCUGGUGUUGGGGCCCGGCCGCUACCCUGCGGCCGUCCCCUAAAUUCAGUGGCGGCCUCGCCGUGAUCCCUUGCGUAGUAAUGCACCUCGCACCGGAGAGCGCCGUGGCCACGCCGUAAAACCCCCAAUUUUCAAUGGUUGACCUCGGAUCAGGUGGGAAUACCCGCUGAACUUAAGCAUAUUAAUAAGCGGAGGA
rnacentral:misc_RNA from 1 species